rnacentral:rRNA from 1 species
AGAGUUUGAUCAUGGCUCAGAUUGAACGCUGGCGGCAUGCCUUACACAUGCAAGUCGAACGGUAACGCGGGGCAACCUGGCGACGAGUGGCGAACGGGUGAGUAAUAUAUCGGAACGUGCCCAGUAGUGGGGGAUAGCCCGGCGAAAGCCGGAUUAAUACCGCAUGAGACCUGAGGGUGAAAGCGGGGGAUCGCAAGACCUCGCGCUAUUGGAGCGGCCGAUAUCAGAUUAGCUAGUUGGUGGGGUAAAGGCCUACCAAGGCAACGAUCUGUAGUUGGUCUGAGAGGACGACCAGCCACACUGGGACUGAGACACGGCCCAGACUCCUACGGGAGGCAGCAGUGGGGAAUUUUGGACAAUGGGCGCAAGCCUGAUCCAGCAAUGCCGCGUGCAGGAAGAAGGCCUUCGGGUUGUAAACUGCUUUUGUCAGGGAAGAAAUCUUCUGGGUUAAUACCUCGGGAGGAUGACGGUACCUGAAGAAUAAGCACCGGCUAACUACGUGCCAGCAGCCGCGGUAAUACGUAGGGUGCGAGCGUUAAUCGGAAUUACUGGGCGUAAAGCGUGCGCAGGCGGCUUUGCAAGACAGAUGUGAAAUCCCCGGGCUCAACCUGGGAACUGCAUUUGUGACUGCAAGGCUAGAGUACGGCAGAGGGGGAUGGAAUUCCGCGUGUAGCAGUGAAAUGCGUAGAUAUGCGGAGGAACACCAAUGGCGAAGGCAAUCCCCUGGGCCUGUACUGACGCUCAUGCACGAAAGCGUGGGGAGCAAACAGGAUUAGAUA